rnacentral:tRNA from 1 species
GUGGAUAUAGCUCAGUCGGUAGAGCGUGCCGCUCAUAACGGCAAGGUAGCAGGUUCAACCCCUGCUAUCCGCA